GAGGGUAUACCUCAAACAGUAGAGCACAUGCUUAGCAUGCACGAGGUCCUAGGUUCAAUUCCCAGUACCUCCU
rnacentral:tRNA from 1 species